AUUGAACGCUGGCGGCAUGCUUUACACAUGCAAGUCGAACGGUAACAGGGAGCUUGCUCCGCUGACGAGUGGCGAACGGGUGAGUAAUGCAUCGGAACAUGCCCAGUCAUGGGGGAUAACUACGCGAAAGCGUAGCUAAUACCGCAUACGCCCUGAGGGGGAAAGUGGGGGAUCUUAGGACCUCACGUGAUUGGAGUGGCCGAUGUCAGAUUAGCUAGUUGGUGAGGUAAAGGCUCACCAAGGCGACGAUCUGUAGCGGGUCUGAGAGGAUGAUCCGCCACACUGGGACUGAGACACGGCCCAGACUCCUACGGGAGGCAGCAGUGGGGAAUAUUGGACAAUGGGCGAAAGCCUGAUCCAGCCACGCCGCGUGGGUGAUGAAGGCCUUCGGUGUAAGACCCUGUCGGAGGGACGAAGUACAAUGACGGUACCUCCCAAGAAAACGCGAACCGGCUAACUCCGUGCCAGCAGCCGCGGUAAAGUGACU
rnacentral:rRNA from 1 species